rnacentral:ncRNA from 1 species
CUCAUGGAGAGUUUGAUCCGGGCUCAGGAUGAACACUGGCGGCAUUUUUAACACAUGCAAGUCGUACGGGAAGGAUCCUAGUCGUGUUUCCAGUGGCGCACGGAUGAGUAACGCGUAAGAACCUGCCCUUGGUAGAGGCACAACAGCUAGAGACGGUUGCUAAUUUAGCAACCGUGUAUUAGCAAUGCUAAUACCCCGUAGGCAGAGGAGCAAAAGGAGGAAUCCGUCUAAGGAGGGGCUUGCGUCUGAUUAGCUAUUUGGUGAGGUAAUAGCUUACCAAGGCGACAAUCAGUAGCUGGUCUGAGAAGAUGAUGAGCCACACUGCGACUGAGACACGGCCUAGACUCUUACGGGAGGCAGCAGUGGGGAAUUUUCAGCAAUGGGCGAAAGCUUGACGGGAGCAAUGCCGCGUGGAGGUAGAAGGCUCACGGGUCGUAAACUCCUUUUUCUCAAAGAAGAUGCAAUGACGUUUUUCUCAGAGAAGACGCAUUGACGGUAUCUGAGGGAUAAGCAUCGGCUAACUCUGUGCCAGCAGCCGCGGUAAGACAGAGGAUGCAAGCGUUAUCCGGAACCAUUAGGCGCAAUCUGUCAAACUUCAUGGCUCAACCCUGGACAUGAGGUGGAAACUACCAAGCUGGAGUACGGUAGGCAGAGGGAAUUUCCGAUGGAGCGGUGAAAUGCGUAGAGAUCGGAAAGAACUCCAAUAGCGAAAGCACUGACACUGAGAGACGAAAGCCAGGGUAGCAAAUGGGAUUAGAUACCCCAGUACAUUAGUCCUAGGCUUAAACGAUGGAUACGAAGCGCUGUGCGUAUCAACCCGUGCAGUGCUGUAGCUAACGCGUCAAGUAUCCCGCCUGGGGAGUACGUUCGCAAGAAUGAAACUCAAAGGUAUUGACUGUGAAUCCGUUCCCAGGCCUUGCCGAAGUCGUUACUCUAAACUUAAGGAGGAAAUAUUAAAUAUAAACAAUUUG